rnacentral:lncRNA from 1 species
CUUGCCACUUUGGCCAUUGAGGAAUCCCUUCAGAUAUUCUGUUUCAGCAUUUCGCUUAAGUAUCUCUCCCAAUACCUCUUCUUGUACUUGAUGAGCAUUGAUGGUCAGUUCCUCCAUCAUCUUCAGUCCAUCAACUUCAUACUCAUUUGUUGCCAUCAGAUAACAAUAAUUUUUUGCUGAAAAUAAUUAACCCAGACUGCUGCUUUAGAAAGGUCUAGCUCCUUUGGGGUGUCUUCACUAGCUAAGCACACUUGCACAAAGGAUGGGAUCAACUAUUUGGAAAAUGAAACCUGGCACAAAAAAUCAAAGGGAAAUGAGCCACAACUUUAAGGCUUUGUGAUUCACAUGUUGUUACUGUUGUAAAAGAGAAGUCAAAAGAGAAAAAUAAUAAUUGGUGCUUUUUCCAAUUUAAACUCUUUUUACCACACAUGUUGUUGAUGAUGUAAAAGACAAGAAAAGAAAAGGACAAAACGUGAUGUAACUUGCUUUGUGACCCCGUUCAAAAGUAUAUUUAAAAAACAACUUAGUCAGAAAAAAACAUAUAAAAAAAGUAAAGAAGGGAGAGGGUACUUUAUGACAGCCUUAACAUUGCAGCUAGGAGCUUGUGCAAUUGUGUUGCUUGAAUAAUGGAGAUCGAACAGAAUGGAAACUUAAUGAGUUUUUACAGAAAGUUAAUGGAACUUGAUUAUGUGCUGUUGAGAUAUAAUUUAUGGACAGUUGAGAAAGUGUAAAUUAUAUAUUAAAAGUAUAUAUCAAAUACUAUAAACUAUAAAAGAAUGGGGGUUAAUUAGUUUUUUACUUUUUUAUCACAGAUUUUAUUAGUCUCACGUAAUAUUAGUUUGUCUUGUUCAUCAAUUGACGGCAUCAACUUUAGUUACUUUUUUGAAAUUCGAGUACUGCAUAAAAAAUUAUUGACUAGUUAUUAAGGGGAAGCAAAAAAUCAAAAGAGCGUAUGAAUAUUUAACAAUAAUAAAUCUAUAUAUCAGAAUCAAAGAUUAGGAUUGAAAUUUUCUUUCUUAAAUAAAAAAAGCUAAAAACAAAAUAUAGAAAGAAUAAAUUUACUUUUAAUGGAACUUCGUAAUGAAUUCAGUUAAAAAGAUAUAUGAUGACUUUUCACAUACGAUCUUAUCGAUUUAAGGUUCGAUAUUUUGAUAAGUAACAAUGAAAAUAUUCUUUUUGAAGAGUUAGCUUGUUACAUUGGCCAUUGAAUGCAAGAAGAAAACCAAUUAGAAUGCAAAUAAAUACCCUAAGAGUGAUAUUCGAAUCCAAUAUAAUCGGAUCAGGUACUCGUAAGUAUCUUAUAACAGGGUACCGUUGACAUUUCUACUCAAAGCCUCUUACAUGCUUCUCUAUAAGAAGUAGCUUUGCAUUCUAAUUGGUUUUCUUCUUGAAUUUAAGUAUAUUUACUUUUCUCAACCCGAAAAAGUGUUUAAUUUGUUAUUUACAAAUUAAAUCAGGUUAUUUAAAUAAAAAUAUUAUGGAUGAGAUCUUAUCUGGGCUUGUUUUCUACUGUGACCAUGGGAGCAGCGUUUGCAAUAUUUGAAUUUAAAACAACCAUCCAUGGCUCUUUAAAGGAAGGCUAUGUUUGGGAUUUAGGACCAUGCCAUAAAGGUGAGAUAACGAUGAAAAGAAUAUUGUGAAAUUGGAGUUUUUUUUUCCAUGGAAUACAUAAAAUUGCUAUGGGCUUCUAGGUUCUUGCAAUUGAACAAGGUUUCUCUGUUUGAGAAUUGCCUCAAAGUGUUCAAUUGCCCUUCGUUUAUGUUGUCGCGUUAUCACGACUGCGUGGCAACCUGUAAAAGUUGGGAGGAUGUGACUCCACAAAAUGAACAGAAAAAUGGGCACUGUAUUUGGACUCUGCCGAAUGUCUCCAAAGCCGUGGGCCACUUCUGCCUGAUUCCUUCCGUCAGUUGUAUCGGUCUUUUCAAAGUUUUAAUUAUGCAAGAACAGAAUAUCUGAAGGCUUCUUUAAUGGCCAAUGUAACAAGCUAACCCUUCAAAAAGAAUAUUUUUAUUAUUAUUUAUCAAAAUAUCGAACCUUAAAUCGAUAAGAUCGCAUGUGAAAAGUCAUCAUAUAUCUUUUUAACUGAAUUCAUUACGAAGUUCCAUUAAAAGUAAAUUUAUUCUUUCUAUAUUUUGUUUUUAGCUUUUUUUAUUUAAGAAAGAAAAUUUCAAUCCUAAUCUUUGAUUCUGAUAUAUAGAUUUAUUAUUGUUAAAUAUUCAUACGCUCUUUUGAUUUUUUGCUUCCCCUUAAUGACUAGUCAAUAAUUUUUUAUGCAGUACUCGAAUUUCAAAAAAGUAACUAAAGUUGAUGCCGUCAAUUGAUGAACAAGACAAACUAAUAUUACGUGAGACUAAUAAAAUCUGUGAUAAAAAAGUAAAAAACUAAUUAACCCCCAUUCUUUUAUAGUUUAUAGUAUUUGAUAUAUACUUUUAAUAUAUAAUUUACACUUUCUCAACUGUCCAUAAAUUAUAUCUCAACAGCACAUAAUCAAGUUCCAUUAACUUUCUGUAAAAACUCAUUAAGUUUCCAUUCUGUUCGAUCUCCAUUAUUCAAGCAACACAAUUGCACAAGCUCCUAGCUGCAAUGUUAAGGCUGUCAUAAAGUACCCUCUCCCUUCUUUACUUUUUUUAUAUGUUUUUUUCUGACUAAGUUGUUUUUUAAAUAUACUUUUGAACGGGGUCACAAAGCAAGUUACAUCACGUUUUGUCCUUUUCUUUUCUUGUCUUUUACAUCAUCAACAACAUGUGUGGUAAAAAGAGUUUAAAUUGGAAAAAGCACCAAUUAUUAUUUUUCUCUUUUGACUUCUCUUUUACAACAGUAACAACAUGUGAAUCACAAAGCCUUAAAGUUGUGGCUCAUUUCCCUUUGAUUUUUUGUGCCAGGUUUCAUUUUCCAAAUAGUUGAUCCCAUCCUUUGUGCAAGUGUGCUUAGCUAGUGAAGACACCCCAAAGGAGCUAGACCUUUCUAAAGCAGCAGUCUGGGUUAAUUAUUUUCAGCAAAAAAUUAUUGUUAUCUGAUGGCAACAAAUGAGUAUGAAGUUGAUGGACUGAAGAUGAUGGAGGAACUGACCAUCAAUGCUCAUCAAGUACAAGAAGAGGUAUUGGGAGAGAUACUUAAGCGAAAUGCUGAAACAGAAUAUCUGAAGGGAUUCCUCAAUGGCCAAAGUGGCAAGCAACUCUUCAAAAACAAUGUUCCCAUUGUUACUUACGAAGAUAUCAAGCCUUACGUUGAUAGGAUUGCUAACGGGGAGCCAUCAGACAUCCUUUUAGCUGAACCUGUGAUUGAGUUCAACCGAAGGUGUAAAUUUAUCGCCUCUGUUUUCAUUUUUUUUUGGUUUUAUUGGUCGCCCUGCUUCCCUCCUUAGUCGAUCCUGUUUGACCUGCAGCUCUGGCACUAGCGGAGGGCAGCCAAAGUUAAUACCUAACACGGUUGAACUUUCAAAGAAAAGGGCAGCAUUUCACACCCUGAUAGCGUCUGUGCUGAACAAGUAAGAAUCUGUGCCCCAGUUUUGUUACAGUAUAUAUAUAUAUAUUAGUUUAAAUCAAAUUCUAAUAAAAUAAUCAUUAUCUUGUAAAUAUUUUUGAACUCACUUCAUGUUUUUAGUCGAGUGUGAUUGAUUAGUGUCUACGUCUCUUAUGCUCUGUUUAAGCUCUUUCAAAGAAGCAUCCAAACCUUGAGACUGCAUGAAAAGAAAACAAAGAAACACUUCAUAUCAGAGUAUCCAAUAUAUUUUAGGGACUGAGUGUCGGUGACUUGACUUUCUCUCAUGUUGAAAAAAAGAAAAAAGAAAAAGAUUUGGCAUAAUACUCAAAAAAAUUAUCAAUAAUUCAAAAAAUUUUAAUUAAGUUUUUAUCUUUGUAUUACAAUCAUAAAUCCAUGUAUUUUUUUAUUAAAUAAAAUUUUGUGAUUAAUAGUUUAAUAAUUAUUAUUAAUUAAAAUAUUAUUUGUAAUUUUAUAUUCACGUAGUACUUAUGUGAAAAGUUAAAAAUGAUACAUGAUCAUAUCAUCAUGUAACAUCAACAUCAUUUUAUCAUUCAUUAUGACGUGUUACAAUAUCACAUUAACAUCACAAGAAUAUAAAAUAAUAAAUGGUAUUUUAAUUAAGUCAACUAUUAAUCAUAAUAGUUUCUUUGACUUAAAAUAAAAACAUAUAAGCUUGUAAUAGAAAAAUAAGAACCUAUUUAAAUUCUUUUAAAUAAUUUUAAAUUUUUUUUAAGUAUUAUGUCUUUAGAUUUUUUUAGUGCCAAUAGAUGUGAACGGUUAUAUUAUUUGUAAGUUCGACUUCAAGUAAUGGGUCAGGUGCUAGUGGGGUGUUUUAGGAGGUUUAAAAAGAAAUAGUUAACAUGAUUUUGGCAGGUUUAACUUCCAUGUGAGUGCCUUAUUAACUUAAUAUCAGCACAGAAGUGUUUGUAGGUUAAUUUAAUUUGGCAAGAUUGCAUUGCACAAACAUUUAAUUGUUAGAAAUUCAAGUAUUCUUGAAGUAUUAUAUUUUAAUAUUGUUAUAAGCGUUGGCUUCAGAUGAGCUUUCCAGAGUUAUACACGAGUAUACAUUCCAAAAACUAACCAUACCAGUUGAGUUUAUCCAUUCACAGGCACUUUGGUGACUUGAACCGAGCUGGAAAAAGUAUGGAACUUAUGUUUGUCAAACCAGAGAUUGAAACCCCUUCGGGCCUCAAGGCUAGAUCUGUCACAACAAGCUUAUUCAAGGACAAUGGCUUUAGAGACAUCCUGCCCAUGCUUUACACAAGCCCAAUUGAGACAAUCCUUUGCUUAGACAUCAACCAGAGCAUGUACUGCCAUUGCUUGUCGGUUUAAUACAGCGGGACGAGGUUGUAAGGAUUGGCUCAAUGUUUGCAUCUGCAUUGCUAAGAGCUAUCAAGUUUAUAGAAGAUCACUGGAAAGAGCUAUGCUCAAACAUAAAAACAGGUUACUUAAGCGAUUGGAUCACUGAUUCGGGAUGCAAAAAUGCACUGUCAUCGAUCAUGAAGCCUGAUCCAGAGUUGGCUGAUUCAAUAGAGAACAUAUGUGGUUGUAGAUCAUGGGAAGGAAUAAUCAGAAAGCUUUGGCCUAAAGCAAAGUAUAUCGGUGCCAUUACUACGGGCGUUAUGAGACAAUAUACUACAGCACUCGAUUUCUACAGCGGAGGGCUCCCCUUAGUGUCAAGUUUUUAUGCUUGUUCUGAAGCCAUUUGUGGGAUCAAUUUAGAACCUCUAGACAAGCCUGCCGAUGUCUCUUAUACCAUCCUCCCCAAUAUGGCUUACUUUGAAUUCCUUCCGGUGAAGAAAGACCGUGUGUCAAUGACUCAAGAGGUUCAAUUUAAUGGUGUGUCUGAACAGGAAUCCAUAGAAAUGAAGAGCAACAAUGAAGAUAUUGAAGCCGUAGAUCUUGUAAAUGUGAAGCUUGGUCAAUUUUAUGAACUAGUUGUGACAACUUUUACAGGUAAAAAUUCCCUCUUCAAAUUGAAAUCAUACACAUAUAUACCUGAUCAUUUACACUAGUAAUUUUUCCUACGUAGCAUCAAAACAGAAAUGGCAAUUAUCCUUUUAAUCAAAGGCCAUCUACUAAUUCUACAAUAUACUUCCUAGCUACAUAAAAGUUUCAUAAAAUGAUCUAAUCUUGUAUUUGAUUUUCCUUGUUUUUUCCAGGAUUAUAUCGAUAUAGAGUUGGAGAUAUUCUUAUGGUGACUGGUUUCCACAACAAUACACCUCAAUUCCGAUUUGUGGAGAGGGAAAAUGUUAUCCUAAGUGUUGAUGCGGAUAAAACAAGUGAAGCAGACCUCUUGAAGGCAGUGACAGAAGCAAAGACUCUGCUGGAUCCGCUUGGCUUCAUCUUGACAGCGUACACUAGCUACGGUGAUAUGUCCUCAACUCCGGGUCACUAUGUCUUAUUUUGGGAGCUUAAGGUAAAGGAAGAUAACGAUAACAAAGAGUUUGAUCCAAAGAUGAUGGUAGAAUGUUGCUCUAGAAUGGAAGAAUCAUUGACUUAUACAUAUAAAAUCUAUAGGCAGCAAAACGCAAUUGCACCUUUGGAGAUUAGGGUGGUAAAGCAAGGAACUUUUGAUGCCCUAAUGGAUUACUAUGUGUCACAAGGAGCUUCUAUGAACCAAUACAAGGCACCUAGCUGCAUCAAAUCUAAGGAAGCCUUAAAGAUUUUAGAUUCCAGAGUGAUAGGAAAGUUUUUUAGCCUAAAAGCUCCCUUGUGAUUAGUUGCAUGCUUUUCCUAUGUUUUGUAUGAAGGGCCCAAAGCCUCUUGCGUGCUUAUCUAGAAGAAGUAGUUUUUGUUGUUCUAUGAAGUACAAUAAGCCGUUCCAACAGAAAACUUUGCAUUGUAAUUGGUUUUCUUCUUGAAUUUAAGUAUAUUUGCUUUUCUCGACCUGAAAAAGCAUUUAAUUUGUUAUUUACAAAUUAAGAUAAGGUGAUUUCAACAAAAAUAUUAUGGAUGAGAUCUUAAUAUGAAUUUUAUCUCGACACUUUAUUUACUAUAUAAUUUGUUUCUAAAAAAAUUUAUUUAACUUUUUAUCAAAAAAUUUUUAAAAUAUGUAUUAGAAUUGGGGAAGAAAAUUUGGCACAAAUCAUCCUCUAUCUACACUUUUUAUCUUUGAUCCUACAUAAUUUGAACAACAAAAUCAAAUAUUUCGUUAAACCUUCACAUUCCGUCAUUGGUACCUUCCACGUUUCUUCCAAAUUAAACACAAAUAUCCGUCUGGGCUUGUUUUCUACUGUGACCAUGGGAGCAGUGUUUGCAAUAUUUUAUUUUAAAACACCCAUCUAUGGCUCUUUAAAGGAAGGCUAUGUUUGGGAUUUAGGACCAUGCCAUAAAGGUCAGAUAACGAUGAAAAGAAUAUUGUGAAAUUGGAGUUUUUCUGUUCCAUGGAGUACAUAAAAUUGUUAUGGGCUUCUAGCUUCUUGCAAUUGAACAAGGUUUCUGUGUAUGAGAAUUGCCCAACGUGUUCAAUUUCCCUUUGUUUAUGUUGUGUUGUUAUCACGACUGCGCGGCAACCUGCAGAAGUUGGGAGGAUGUGACUCCACAAAAUGAACAGAAAAAUUGGCACUGUAUUUGGACUCUUCCGAAUGUGUCCAAAGCCGUGGGCCACUUCUGUCUGAUUCCUUCCGUCAGCCGUGUCGGUCUUUUCAAAGUUUUGAUAAUUACCAUAUAAGACCACAUUGUCCAGUAAAGAUACACCGAAAAGAACUAAGAGUAGCAAAGUUGAGUUUCUACCCUUUCGUCCAUUCUGGGUCUGCUCGAAGGAAUUUUGGAGUUCUUGGCCACCAAUGCUUAGUAAAUACAAAAACGGUUUGCGGAAGAGAUAAUCGAAAUGCAGGAGCAGAAUAUCUAAAAUGCUUCUUUAAUAGCCAAUGUAACAAGCUAACUCUUCAAAAAGAAUGUUAUCAUUGUUACUUAUCAAAAUAUCGAGUCUUAAUACUUGUUUGGUUUGAUUUUUUUUUUUCAAUUUAUCUAUCAUUUAAAAGUAAAAGUGAGGUCAAACAUAAAUUUUAAAAAACUCUGUAAAAAAAAUAACUUUUUAUAAAGAAUAAAAUUUUUUUUUAAAAAAAAAGAAUUUUAGGAAAAAUUCUUAUGAGGAGGUUUUUUUUUUAAAAUAAAAAAAUUUUAUUUUUAUUUCAAAAAUAUCUUUAUCUAGUAAAAAUAAUUACAAUAUCACCCUUUAAAAAAUUACGUUUAUUUUUUUUAUUUAGAAAAGAGAAUUUCAACCCUAGUCUUUGAUAUGGAUACAUAGACUUAUUAUUGUUAAAUAUUCAAAUGCUCUUUUGAUUUCUUGCUACCCCCUAAUAACUAGUCAAUAAUUUUUGAUGCAGCACUCAAACUUUAAAAGGACAACCAAAGCUGAUACCUUUUAAUUGAUGAACAGGACAAACUGGUAUUACGUGAGACUCUAAUAAAAUCUGUGAUGAAAAUGUAAAAAACUAAUUAACCCCAAUUCUUUUAUAACUUACAGCAUUUGAUAUAUACUUUUAAUAUAUAAUUUACACUUUUUGAUCUAUCAAUAAAUUAUAUCUCCACAACACAUAAUCAAGUUCUAUUAACAUUCUGUAAAAACUCAUCAAGUUUCCAUUUUGUUUGAUCUCCAUGAUUCAAGCAACACGAUAGCAUAAGCCCCCAGCUACGGUGAUUAAGGAUGUCAUAAAGUACCCUCUCCCCUCUUUGCUUUUUAGGCAUGCUUUUUUUUUACCAAGUUGUUUUUUAUAAUAUACUUUUGAAUGAUGUGACAAAGCAAGUUACAACACGUAAUGAAAGGUUUUAAUAAUUAACUCAUGAUAUUGGGUUUUAUACUUGUGAUUGUCAUUAGAGUAUGGCCACUUGUCACGACCAACAAUUCAGGGCGUUAAAGGGGGCUUAAGGUGUCUCAGAGUGUCGGCUUGUGGGGAAGUAUUGUCGGGAAAGAACCCCCUUGCUAGCAUGACACAUAAGUAAGCCACGCAGAAGAGGCAUACGACACUAGCGCUUAGGUGAGCCAACUCGCACACCAUCAAGCUGGCCAGCACAUUGUUGAGGCAAGGCACAUUGAGCAACAAGGCAGUGGACAAGCUAGCCCGCACACCAUCGAGCAGGCCUACACAUUGCUAAGUUAAGGUGCACUUAGUAGUGGAGACAGUGGGCAAGCCAGCUCGCACACCACCGAGACAAUCCUCCUGUGAGUUGGCCAAAUGCACUAGAUUGCCACAAGGGCGAAAUCGAGACACCAUUGUAGCUCCUAUAACAGGCUAAACUGUUUGAAUUCAAACUAGGGAAAAAAAAUCUUACCUAAAACUAUUUUGUACAGCCUAUUUGACUUUUGGGGGGAUAUUUGGCUAUAAAUACCCCUUAUAAUUCAUUUGCACAGCUGUUGACUCUUUUAAUACAAAUUUUUCACUCUCACAGUCUCUCCAAUAUACUCUUAUCUACUUUUCUCUUCAAUCUUUUGCUACUUGCUCGUGUUGGUGCUAUGUGCUUGUUGGCUUGAGGCCUUGUGAUUGUGUGUGUCUACUUGAAUUUCAUACUGUAUAUUGUGUGCUUCAAGGUCAUUGUGGUGUUAAAGAUUGGUUGGUAGGCAUACUUUUGGUUGACUUGGAUUCCAGAAUCGAGUUAAGGGUGAGUCAAAGGCUACACGUUGAGUGGUUUGAAAAACUACCAUGUGAUAGGUGGUAUCAAAGUAGUUUGCGAUUAGCUGCAAAAUGCUAGGUUUUGUUCGGUCAGUUGUGAUCAGUUUACAACAAGUUGCAAGCCACAGUUUGCAAGUCGAGUAAGAGGUGAUUUGAGGUGAGCUAUGGCUACUAUUGGGUCAAGUUUAUCAGAUCUUACACUUAGGGUAAAGGAAACUUGUGCUGGUAAAAGGGGUAAGUUUACAUUUCGAGAACUUAUGUCUACUCUCGAUGCUAGGCUGUCCAAGGUAGAAGUGACAAUAGGUGAAAUGCGAAACUGCCUUGAUGUGUAGAAAAAGCACAUGAAAGAGCUCAACACACGAGAUGAAGAGCUCAAAGAAGAGGUCUAAGAGAUAGUGAAGGAUACCCUUGAGGCCAUGACCGAGAAAGAAACACUCAGCUUGAGAACAUGUUGGAAAUCUUGAGGAAUGAGUUACAGUAAUUAAGAGUGGAAGUCCGCACAAUAGGGGCUAAUGGUGGCCACAGGAGCUGCCACACGAUUGGAGGUAAGGCUGGAAGUGCCUAAGCUGAGAGAAUUUCGUGGCGAGAGGAAUGCCAAAAAGAUUGAUAAUUUUCUCUAGAGGUUAGACCAAUAUUUCAAUGCCACUGGCAUUAUUACGAAUGACCGUCAGAUCAUCGUGGCGUCCAUGUAUUUUUGAGAUACGACACUACUUUUGUGGAGGAAGCGGUCUGACAAGAGGCUCGGAGGAACACUAAUGCUCACAUGGGCCUACUUCUAGAGCAAGCUACGCAAAUAAUUCUACCUAGAGUAUAUCGUGGAUGAGGCCAAGGGUAAGUUGCUUAGGCUAGCGCAACGUAGGAAAAUCCGGAAGUAUGUCAAAAACUUCAAUGAUUUAGCUCUACAAGUGGAUGAUCUUUGGGGAAAGAGAGGCUUUUUUGCCUUCAUGGAUGGCUUAAAGCCAUAAGCCAAGUAGGAGUUACAAAAAAAGGGUGUGUAUGACCUCAUUCGGGCAAUGGAAGUUGUUAAAAGUCUAGUGGAUUACUCCAGAUCAGAAAAAGAAAAGUUUGCACCUUCCAAGCCUAAAAAUAAAGACAAGUUGGGCAAAUAAAGGCAAGCAGCCUAGAUACAAAGAUAGUGGUGAUGGCAAGCCACAACAAUAGUGGAAGGGCAAAUCUACUUGAAAAGGGAAGUCUUCCGAGAAUGAGGAAGACAAGCUUAAUAGUUGCUUCUUGUGUGAUGGCCCACACUAGAUUAGGGAUUGCCCUAAGCAUACAAAGUUGGUGGCAAUCACUUCGAAGAAGGAGCAACAACCAAGCGAGGUGGCUAAGUUGGGAUCAAUGCUACUAGGGUAGUGAAAAAGACUGACAACUGAGCCAAAGGGCACAUGUACGCAAACAUGGUGGUGGCUGACCAGCAUGUUGAAGCUUUAGUGAACACGAGUGCUUCAAACUUGUUUGUGUCUGAAAAAGGUGCUGCCAAGCUAAGCAUUCAGGCUAAUGUUAUUAAAGGCUAGGUUAAAACGGUGAACUCCAAAAGGGUGUGUACCAAGGAUAUUGCUAAGUGUAUAGAUGUACAAAAUUUCGUAAGUUAUUUAGCAACAGAAUUCAAUUGGUAAUUACCCAUGGAAUUAUGUCAAUAACAACCAUAUUACCUUUGGAAUUCUGUAGGUAAAACUUGUCGAUAAAAUUAAUAAAAAUCAUCAUAAAUAAUAUAUGCAACUCACAAUUGACAUCCAAAAUUCAUAACAAAAAUAUGUAUUAAAAUUUGAAAUUCAAAAUCAAGUUAAUAUAAUUAAAAAUAGUCAUAAACACAAAAUAUUUAAAAAUAUCAAAUAAAUAUAAACAUAAAGUUAAAUAUUCUAUUGUCUGCCAUAUUAAGAAAAAAGUAUCCAACUUCAAAUACAAAAAAAAGGCAUCAUAUCAUGAAAUGUCACUUUCUUACUCGUCAGAAUCUAAACUUGAUAUACCCGCACAUUCUUGUUUCAAAAGCAUAGUAUUCACGAUCAUUACUUCCAUAAGUGUCAUAAAUUCCUUCAUGUUUGCCAUUAUAUUAGCGUUAUUCCCCUUAAUUUCCUCACAUAUCUUACCUAAGUCUUUUGAUAGAUUUUCCACUUCUUCUUCCAACCCAAUUACGAGAUCAAUAGCAUUUAGGACGCUAGGACUAUACAGUGACUCAAAUGUUGCUGGAUUGUCAUGUGCUACACUAAGUACAAUUGUAGCAGGCACCCAUACAUGUGAGUGUGUGCAAUCUUUAUCCCUCAAAUUACUUCAAUUCAAGCAUGUGGAUUGAAUUCUAGUUGAGAGGAUAAAUCUUCGUUAUACUUUUACGAUAAUGCAAAAUUGUAUAUUUCCUACAAAAAAAAAUUAGUAUUCAAUUAAAGUGUCAUUUUUUAACUACAAAUUAAUCAAUUAUUUGCUAUACUAAUAGCUUUAGAAUUGUUAUCUAUGAAAUCACUACAACCUGUUAAACAUUUAUAGAUGCGAUUGAACACUUCAAAAAGCUAAGAUCUCUAUCCAUCUUGAUUGCCUACAUUCAUUUGCAACUAUAUAUACUCAAUCAUUAUGCAUAUAUGUACAUAACAUGUAAAGCAUGUUAUACAUAUAAUUUAUAUUUGUUUUGAAAAUCACAUAUAAUUUGUAUUUGAAUGAUUAGUGUUCAAAUUUUUUUUCAAAAUAAAUAUGCUUACAUUUAGAACUCAAUAAUUAUAUUAAACUUGUUUAAUUUUCAAAUAAACGUUAGCAUUUUGGAAUGAACUACAUGUGUUUGUUUGAGAGAGAGAGAGGUGCAACAUAAGUUAUAAGAUCAAAUAUAAAGCAAAUAAAUUCAAGAAAUCCAUUAUUUUUAUAUUGAAUUUUACUAGCUUGGUGCAUGGUUCUUCAUCACUAGAAGGCACUUGGAAGAAACAAUGACUAUUGGUUGUGUCAACGCAGUUGCAAUGCUCAACAUAAAAAUUAAAAGCUCCUUUAUUUAUAAAUAAGCACUAAAAGAAAAAAAAAUUGUCAUAAUCACUACAAAAUUUCAUUGUAUUUCCAACAGAUUUGCAACGGAUUUCCAACGGAGUUUAAUUAAAAUUUUUAAAUGCUUGUUUCGACGGAUUUCCAACGGAUUUAUACUGAAAAAUUUUCAACAAAAUUUUCCGUUGGAAAUCCGUUGGAAAAUUAAAUUUUCAACGAAAUUUUCCGUUGGAAAUUUGACUUAUACAACACACACAUAUUACUGUUUAAUAUUUUCAACGAAAAUUUCAGUUAGAAAUUUUCAACUAAAAAUUCUGUUGGAACUUUAAACUAAAAAAAAAACAUGUGUAAUCUUUACAGUUUUCAACGGAAUUUUUCGUUGGAAAUUUCCAACAGAAAUUUUCGUUGAAAAUUCAUUGAAAAUUUCAUCUUCAGGACACUGUAUUAUUUCCAAUGGAAAUUUUCGUUAGAAUUCUAAACUUUUCCUAUGUUAUCUUUAUCUUUUCAGACGAAAUUUUCUAUUGAAAGUUUCCAACGAAAAAUUUCGUUGGAAAUCCGUUGGAACUUUAAACUAAAAAAAAAAAACGUGCAUACUAUUUACAAUUUCCAACGAAAUUUCCAACGAAAAUUUUCGUUGGAAAUCUGUUGGGAAUUUCAUCUUCAGGACACUAUAUUAUUUCCAACGAAAAUUUCCGCUGGAACCCUAAACUUUUUCUAUGUUAUGUUUAUCUUUUCCAACGGAAUUUUCUGUUGGAACAUUAAACUUUAAUACAAAUGUUCAAUCUUUUACAAUUUCCAACAAAAUUUUUCGUUGAAAAUCCGUUAGAAUAUAUAAAGAGUUAAUGAUAUAUUGAAAAAUGUAACUUUCCAACGGAAUUUUUCGUUGGAAACUAACUUUUUAGUGCAUCAAAGUGUUUAUGACUUUUUAAACUUUCCAACGGAAUUUUUCAAAGGAAAAUUACGUUGGAAAUAAUCUUAUUUUUAAAAAAUUAUAAAAUUUAAAUUUUUUAAAAAUUUUAUUAAUUAUUUUUAAAAGAAUUGGAUAUUAGUAAAAGCAAAUACAUAGUUAUUGUAGUAAAAUUUUGGGCUCUGUUUAAAUAUGUUUUCCUUUGAGUAAUUUUGUAUAAUUUUUUUAACUUUAAUGAAUCAUACAAUAUUGAUUAAUAAUACCAAAUUAGGGUAAUGUUAUAUUAUUCCAAAAUUGAAAAAAAUUACUAUGUAAAAUUUUAUAUUUUAUAAAAAACCAUGAUAAGAUAUUAAAAUCAUAUUAAAAAAUAUAUAUUACUUUAUUUACGUUUUAAUUGUAAUUAGCUAAUAUAUGUAAAUUAAGAUUGAAGUUUUAUAAUAAACUUAUUAAUAUUUGUGCUUAAAAAAUAUCAUUUUAUUAUAUCUAUGUAUUCAUGCAAAUCUAACCAAGAGCUAUAGAAAAUAUAUAUAAAUAUAUAUAUAUAUAUAUAUAUAUAUAUAUAUAUANNNNNNNNNNNNNNNNNNNNNNNNNNNNNNNNNNNNNNNNNNNNNNNNNNNNNNNNNNNNNNNNNNNNNNNNNNNNNNNNNNNNNNNNNNNNNNNNNNNNNNNNNNNNNNNNNNNNNNNNNNNNNNNNNNNNNNNNNNNNNNNNNNNNNNNNNNNNNNNNNNNNNNNNNNNNNNNNNNNNNNNNNNNNNNNNNNNNNNNNNNNNNNNNNNNNNNNNNNNNNNNNNNNNNNNNNNNNNNNNNNNNNNNNNNNNNNNNNNNNNNNNNNNNNNNNNNNNNNNNNNNNNNNNNNNNNNNNNNNNNNNNNNNNNNNNNNNNNNNNNNNNNNNNNNNNNNNNNNNNNNNNNNNNNNNNNNNNNNNNNNNNNNNNNNNNNNNNNNNNNNNNNNNNNNNNNNNNNNNNNNNNNNNNNNNNNNNNNNNNNNNNNNNNNNNNNNNNNNNNNNNNNNNNNNNNNNNNNNNNNNNNNNNNNNNNNNNNNNNNNNNNNNNNNNNNNNNNNNNNNNNNNNNNNNNNNNNNNNNNNNNNNNNNNNNNNNNNNNNNNNNNNNNNNNNNNNNNNNNNNNNNNNNNNNNNNNNNNNNNNNNNNNNNNNNNNNNNNNNNNNNNNNNUAUUGUAUUAUAAAGUAAUUACUAAAUAAUAUAUACUUUUGUUUAUAUAAAUUUAUAAUAUAUAAACUUAAUAAGUUAAAAAGAAGUUGUGAGAUUAGAAUAGUUUUUUUAGGGCUGCAAUUAUUUUAAAUUUCAUGUAAAUAAGGACAAAUUAAUUCAUAUAAUCAAUAAAUUUAUGAUUAUUAAUUAAAUUAUAAGGUCUUUUGAUAACAAUGUUUUAUAUAAAUUCAAUUUAUUUUAAAAAACAUAAUUACUAAUUUGUAUAUACACUAUAAUACUUUUAAUAUAUAUUUAUUUUUUAUUUUAUAUUAAUAUUAUGAAAAUGAUAAUUUUGAUACUUAUAAAAUUUAUAUAGCAAAAUGUAUUUUUUGCACAUUAAUCCAAAUGUUAAAUGUUUAUGUAAUAGUAAUUGAUAUUAAAAAAAUUAAAAAAUGAAUAAAAAAUCAAAACCCAACCCACCCCCCGACCUUUCUUUUUCCUUUCUUCCUUCUCUUCUAAUCGGGUGCCGCUCCUUGCCUCCUUCAACCGAGUCCUUCCUCUGGUGUUCUUCCCCUAUAACUCCUAUUGGGGAUAGGUAUGUUAUCAUGUUAAACUUGUUAUAUUUUUCAACUCAAUUUUUAAUUUUUUUAAUUUUAAUAUAUACAAUUUUUAAUUUUUUAAUUUUAAUUACUAGUGUAAAUGAUCAGGUAUAUAUGUGUAUGAUUUAAAUUUGAAGAGGGAAUUUUUACCUGUAAAAGUUGUCACAACUAGUUCAUAAAAUUGACCAAGCUUCACAUUUACAAGAUCUAAGGCUUCAAUAUCUUCAUUGUUGCUCUUCAUUUCUAUGGAUUCCUGUUCAGACACACCAUUAAAUUGAACCUCUUGAGUCAUUGACACACGGUCUUUCUUCACCGGAAGGAAUUCAAAGCAAGCCAUAUUGGGGAGGAUGGUAUAAGAGACAUCGGCAGGCUUGUCUAGAGGUUCUAAAUUGAUCCCACAAAUGGCUUCAGAACAAGCAUAAAAACUUGACACUAAGGGGAGCCCUCCGCUGUAGAAAUCGAGCGCUGUAGUAUAUUGUCUCAUAACGCCCAUAGUAAUGGCACCAAUAUACUUUGCUUUAGGCCAAAGCUUUCUGAUUAUUCCUUCCCAUGAUCUACAACCACAUAUGUUUUCUAUUGAAUCAGCCAACGCUGGAUCAUGCUUCAUGAUCAAUGACAGUGCAUUUCUGCAUCCCGAAUCAGUGAUCCAAUCGCUUAAGUAACCUGUUUUUAUGUUUGAGCAUAGCUCUUUCCAGUGAUCUUCUAUAAACUUGAUAGCUCUUAGCAAUGCAGAUGCAAACAUUGAGCCAAUCCUUACAACCUCGUCCCGCUGUAUAAAACUGACAAGCAAUUGGCAGUACAUGCUCUGGUUGAUGUCUAAGCAAAGGAUUGUCUCAAUUGGGCUUGUGUAACGCAUGGGCAGGAUGUUCCUAAAGUCAUUGUCCUUGAACCUGCUUGUUGUGACAGAUCCAGCCUUGAGGCCCGAAGGAGUUUCAGUCUCUGGUUUGACAAACAUAAGUUCCAUACUUUUUCCAGUUCGGUUCAAGUCACCAAAGUGCCUGUGAAUGGAUAAACUCAACUGGUAUUGUUAGUUUUUGGAAUCUAUACUCGUGUAUAACUCUUGCAAGCUGAUCUGAAGCCAACACUUAUAAAAAUAUUAAAAUAUAAUACUUCAAGAUACUUGAAUUUCUAACAAUUAAAUGAUUGUGCAAUGCAAUCUUGCAAAAUUAAAUUAACUUACAAACACUUCUGUGCUGAUAUUAAGUUAAUAAGGCACUGACCCAUUACUUAAGUUAAAUUCCAUUUGUUUAGGUUAAACCUGCCAAAAUCAUGUUACCUAUUUCUUUUUAAACCUCCUAAAACACCCCACUAGUACCUGACCCAUUAGUUGAAGUCCAACUUACAAAUAAUAUAACCGUUCACAUCUAUUGGCACUAAAAAAAUCUAAAGACAUAAUACUUAAAUAAUUUUUUAAAUUAUUCAAAAGAAUUUAAAUAGGUUCUUAUUAUUUUAUUACAAGUUCAUAUGUUCUUAUUUUGAGUCAAAGAAACUAUUAUAAUUAAUGAUUGAUUUAAUUAAACUAUUAUUUAUUAUUUUAUAUUCAUAUGAUGUUAAUGUAAUAUACUUACACAUGUCAUAAUGAAUGACAAAAUGAUGUUGAUAUGACUUGAUAAUAUGAUCAUUUAUCAUUUUUAACUUUUAACAUUAAUACUAGGUGAGUAUAAAAUUACAAGUGAUAUUUUACUAAUAACAAUUAUUGAACCAUUAGUUAUAAAAAUUUAUUUAAUUAAAAAAUAAAUUUAAUUAUUUUUUUUGAAUUAUUGAGAAAUUUUUUUGAGUAUUAUGCCAAAUCUUUAACUUUCUUUUUUCUUUUUUCAACAUGAGAGAAAGUCAAGUCACCGACACUCAGUCCCUAAAAUAUAUUGGAUACUCUGAUAUGAAGUGUUUCUUUGUUUUCUUUUCAUGCAGUCUCAAGGUUUGGAUGCUUCUUUGAAAUAGCUUAAACAGAGCAUAAGAGACAUAGACACUAAUCAAUCACACUCGACUAAAAACAUGAAGUGAGUUUUAAAAUAUUUACAAGAUAAUGAUUAUUUUAUUAGAAUUUGAAUUAAAAUAAUCCUAGGAUAUAUAUAUAUAUAUGAAAAACAAAUCUUUAUUGGAGAUAUCUUCACGUCUCUUUUUGAUAAAAUGGUUACUUGAUGUUUCUUGUGGCAUGCACUGUUUUUUUAUUCAUUUUGGCCUCAUUCCCAUAUAUAUAAAUAAAACAAAAUUGUAUGUAUCACCUUUUGCAAGGUUGGAAAUUCAAAGUUGUGAUCCCCUAAGCAAAAGCUUGCUAGACUUGGUAGACAACUUAGCUGCAAAUACAGGAGAGAUGCCAACUGAGUUAACAGUAAGAGAUUUCAUAGUGUAGGAAUGGAGAGAAACAAGAGGUUUAUGGAGAGGUUGGUGUCGGUUUUUGUCAAUAACAUCCCGGAAAAGCGUGGACGGAAGCUGGUUGCAAAGGGUAUUUGAAAGGUACGAUGACGUGAAGGAUAUCUUCCUUGCAAAAAAACGAAGCUGGGCAGGGAAGAGAUUCGGGUUUGUGAUUGUAAAGGGGGUUCUUGUGAUAGGGAGAGGAAGCGUUGCAAACAAGUAAAAGGAUAUGCCAAAGGUAGCAGAGAGGAAGAUUGAAGCAAUUCCUGAAAUACUAAGUGCUGUGAUAGGUAGAAGACAAUAAAAAGAGACUUAAAGAGACUUAGAGAGUACAAGAUAAUUAAAGAGAGAAUUUAAAGAGAGAAGCUCUCAAGUUGAGAAUGUGUUAGCUUAGAGAGGGAGAGAAGAGUCCUUCCAAAUGAAUUGUGAGGCUCUAUAUAUAAUGCUAAAAGUGGCGGUUACAUAAGAAUGGGCUUUAAUGCGCCUAAUGAAUGACAUUAUUAUGAAGAAUAUUAAUGUAAGUAACCGUUACUAUAAUUGGAUGUAGUAAGACUUGUUCUAAAGUAAAAGUAAUAGAAAAGAGAUGUAUAAGAAUAGGUACAAGAGAAGAAGCUGUACGAGAAUAGGUACAAGAGAAUAAGCUGUACAUGAAUAAGUAUACGAGAAUAAGGUAAGAGGGUGAAACACUUGUACUUUAGGAAAGGGUUAAGAGGAAGACCUCUUAACUACCUCCAUAUCUGAACCAUCAAGCCAAACUCUCUGGAACAUCCCAAGAUGAAAGUAACCCAUGAAUUUUGCCACUUAUUCCGAGUUGCUUUCACUGUCAUCCAAGUGAAGUGGUUAUUCUAUUCGAAGUAGUUGUUUUACUUGCAUUAAUCGUUUCAUAUGGAGUAGUGUUCUAUUUAUUCUAGUUAUUCUGCGUUAAGUAGCACUUCACUUAUUCUGCGUGAAGUAGCAUUUCACUUGUUCUACUUAUUCUGCGUGAAGUAGCACUUCAGUUGUUUUACUUAUUCUACGUGAAGUAGCACUUCACUUGUUCUGGUUGUUCUCUGUACAACAUUAUAUUGUAACGUAAUUCUUUAGAGUAAUAAUAUUAACUAAAAUUUAGUAUCUACAUUUUGCCCCCUACAUAAGAAUUUAUUGUUAAAAAUAAUUCUUAUGUAUUAAUUUAAAGUAAUUUUUUUUGUACUAUAACGUAUUGUACUGUAUCAUUUUGAGCAGUAAUGCUUUGGGCAGUAUUGUUUUAGACAGUAACACUUUAGCCAGUAAUACUUUAGGUAGUAACAUGUUACUAUCUUGUGUAAGGUGUAAUACUAAUUUGUUUUUGUAAUGUCAAUAUCUUUUUGUAAUAUUUGAUUGAUUAUGCAAUAAUAUUUAAUGUCUUUCGUAAUAUUUGAUUGCAUUUUUUUUAAUUUCAAUAUCUUUUGUAAUAUUUUAUUGAUUAUGCAAUAAUAUUUAAUAUCUUUUUCAUAAAAAUCUUGAUUCUAUUUGUAAUAUUUUAUUAAUUAUGCAAUAAUAUUUAAUAUCUUUUCCAUAAAAACCUUGAUUCUAUGUGGCUUAUAAAUAUCAAGUUACUAAGAACAAUUUUCUUCAUUCAUAUUCAAAGUAAAGCAAAAUAAAUUUUAGAGUAAAGUCGAUUCUUUUACGAAUCUUUUCAAAUAAGUAAGUUUUUUUUCUUAUUUAUAUAUAUAUUUUAAUUUUGUUUUCAAUCAAUUGACUUAAUUAGUUGAAUUUUUCUUACUUGUUGCCACCUGCAUGAAAUUUUUUUUUAAUUAAAAUAUGAGAAAAAAAAUUUAAUUAUGAAAUAUUUUAAUUAUAGAAGAAAAUCACAAAGCAAGAAUAUUUAUGUUACUCUAACUUUGUUUCAAUCCUUUAUUUACUUGGCUCGUUGCACGGUAGGUAUGAUUUUUGUUUGUUUUUGAAUCUUACAGUUUGGAGUAAUAGGUUUCUUGAUUUUUUUUUUUUUGAAGUAUAGUUCAUUGUUUGAUUUUAGCAUAUAGUGUUUAAUAGGAAAGAGAAAUAUUAGAAUAAAGAAAGUAAGAAAAGAAUAAAGUGAACGACAUGUUAACUAGAGAGAGAAAUACUAGAAUAAAGAAAUAAACUAAUAGACGCAUAAAAACUAGCAAAAGCUCCAUGUCUUUUUUUUUUAAUAUAAAUUGAUUUUGACUUGUAUCAUGUUUUGGUGCAGCUUUUACUUAAGGUUUUUUUUUUUUUCCAAUUGAAAGUUAACCUGAUGUAGCCUAAUGUAGCCUUAGAAAAGUGAAAAAAAGAACUAAAUAAAUGCUGAAGCAAAAAGACCAAACAAAGGCUGACUAACUUGUCAAAAAUUUUCUUUUUUUUUUAUUUGUUGGUAGCAAAAAGCUGCAAGUUGUAAUAAUCAUUUUUUUUAUUUAUAUAAAGAACACGUUUUUAACUUUGGAACAAUUUAUUGGCAACCAAAAGUCGCCAGCUGCAUAUAUAUAUAUAUAUAGAGGGGGUUUACUUUGGAGGAGUUUGUAGCGGCAAAGCUGCAAGUUGCAGUAGUUUAUAUAUAUAUAUAUAUAUAUAUAUAGAAAGGGAGUGUACUUUGGAGCAGUUUGUAGCGGCAAAAGUUGCCGACCAAAUUUUUUUUUUAUAAAGAAGAUGGCUUUACUUUGGAGCCACGAGCUCUUUUGAAUAGAGCAAUGGAGCUCGCGGUGUGCCGCAAGCUCUUUUAAUUAGAGCUCGCGGUAUGUGCCACGAGUUGCUUCCAUUAGAGCUCGCGGUACAUGCCGCGAGCUACUCUAAUUUGAACGAUUUUUUUUAAAUUUUAUAAUAAUAAUUUUUUUUUAGUUGACUCUCUUUUUUUUUGUGUUAUAAUUUAUUAUUUUAUUUUAAUGUAUAGUUUUUGAUAGAAAAAAUAUUAAAAUAAAAGAAAUGAGUAAAGGUUGAAGUGAAAGGAGUAAAUAAAAGUUAGUGCAUGUCAACUUUUGAUAAAAAGGUAAAAACUAAAAUAAUUAAUAAAUAAAUGAACAAAAGGUAGCACAUGUCAAACCUUCGUUUCUCCUCUUAUUUAUUAGCAGCACAAGCUGCGUUUCUUGUGUUUUUUUUUUAAUGUAUAGGACUUGACUUUUGUAGGACUGUUUUUGAUUUUAGUGUUACUGUAGAACUUGCGACACAAACUGAAGUAUAGAAGAGAACUUUGGAAACAGUACCUUUGUUCUAACCUUAAGACACGCCAUAGCUUUCAUUUUUUUUUAUUUUACUUGGUUUUGGUGCUAAAGCUUGUGGCUUGUGCGGCACCUUUGUUUUGAAGCUUUAUUUUGUCCUCGCGAUUUAACGCAAGUUAUUUCUAUUGAAGCUCGCGGCAUAUACCGCGAGCUAUUUCUUUUAAAGCUCACGGUUUAUGCCGUAAGUUAUUAUUAUUAUUAUUUUAUUAUUUUAUAAUUUUUAAUUAUUAUAUUAUUUUUAUUUAAAGUUAUAAUUUUUUUUAAGUUUUACUUAUUUAUUAUAUAUAUUUAUAUUGCAUAUAUAAAAAUAAUAAUAUCAAAAUUUAUAAUUUUGAUAAGUUUUAUUUGUGAUUUUUUAUGCAUAAUAAAUAAAUAAAAAUAAAAAAAUUAUUGAGUAUGUAUACUUAUCUCUUUUUCCAUGAUCAUGUUUAUAGAUAACUUUUUUCAUCAUCCUCUAUGCCUAGGACGCGUGUCCCUUCGAAGAUCAAUUAUGGUGAGCCUGAAAGGGCUGCAACAAGAAAGAAAAUCACUGCACAUAAAAGGAAGAAUAGUGAUUCCAAAUUAAUUGCUCCUAAGAAAAUUAGAGUAGGAAAGAGUGGUGAAGUUCCUCUUGUUCCUGAAAAUUGAGAAGAUGAAAUUAUUAGAGAAAGACAAAAAGAUCAUUUUUGGGAAGAGGUUCGUGCCAGACAGGUUGACGAACAUCCCUCUGAGUCUGUUGGAUAUGAUUGGAAUCGUCUAUGCUCAGAAGCACCUCCUCAUAGAAGAAGUGGUAUUUCAGGACAAUCUAUUUUGAAAUUCAAGUUUGAAUGUGGUGAGUUUCCCCUUUCUGCUAAUAAGUUAGGCUCCGAUUCUCAAUUUCUUCAUGGUUGGGAUGAAUGGGUAACUAAGGUAUUGAAGAAUCCUUCUUAUGUUAAACUUCUCUCUUCUGCUAGGAUACUUGAUGCUAUACGUAUCACUUCCAAGCUCAAUAUUCGUAGAGAAAAAAGGAUGGAUGUGUGGUGUGCUAUUCUUGCGAGGUGGAGCACGUUUUCUCAUAAUAUGAUUACUGCAUGGAGGGAAUUUACCUUCACUCUGGAAGAUGUAUGUGUUCUCUUGGAGCUUCCUUGUAUAGGAAAGGAUGAUUUUCAGUCUAUUAAGCUUUCUGAAGAAAAGGUAUGUACUCGAGACUUUUUCUUCGAUCUACUUAGGAGUCUGAGUAAAACUUCAAAGGUUGCACGAUUCUCCAAUUGGAUAGGGUUUUUUAUAAAAAGUUCAAUGCUAAGGGAAUUGAGAUUGGUUCUCCUGAGUACCCAGACCAUAAGUAUGAGCUAGUAGCUUUAAUAAUUUUUUGGUUGGCAUGACAUGUACUCCUAGGGUGUCCAGAUAAUGGUAUCUCUUCAGCAGUUGUUCCUUUAGCAAUAAAAAUUGUUAAAGGAAUACAUUUUCCUCUUGCUCCACUGUAUUUAGGAUCACUAUAUAAGAGAUUAGACUUGUUCCAACUCAAAACUGUUGAGUCAGCUGGGCGUUAUAAAGUUUUGACUUAUGUGGAUGCUUCCUUCAUUCAAAUGUGCUUAUGGGAAAAGUUUGGUACUUGCGCUCCCGUGCCUAAUACAUAUCCUUUUGCAUCUUUUUCUGUGAAUAACCCUUUAUCUAGGAACAACUUUAGAGCUUGGGCAUGGCAUGAUCGACUCCCGAGAGGUAAUGUUCUUGAAGUAAUGGAUGUGACAAAAAAAUUCAAUCCCAGACCUUAUGUGCUGCCCAUAAAUGGAUUUGAUGAUCUUGAAAUUUAUUAUAAUCGCCACCCUCUGCAGUCUGGAAGAAUGAGUUCACAAGGUAUUAACUUUUGUGUGUGGGUUCACAGUUCCCAAUUGCCAUCUAUGAUUGAGAGUUCCAAUUCAGGUGGAGAUAGAAAUAUUCUUUCUGUUGAGGUAUAUUCUCCUUUUAGAGUGGCACGCCAAUUUGGGUUUGAUCAACCAGCUUCGCCUGACUCUUUUUCAACUAUCAGUUUUUCUUUUUGCGUUUCUUCAUUCCUCAUGGCGGGACUUCAACUCUGUUUAGAUAAACUUAAGAGUUGUACUGUCCCAGCUUUUGAUAGAGUUGGUGCUCAUACUUCUGGAUGGUUUGCUUAUUGGAUGGAGUAUGUUGCAUAAUGGAGAUCUUUUAUAAUGCCUUUGACUAAUCCCAAAGCUUGUCUCUACACUCCUCCUAUAAGUAACUUCGAUGUAUCCUUACGUUUGAUUUCUCUAAAAAAGAAAAGAAAUGUAAAUGAAGAAGAAGAUGAUGCUCCUUGCGCUCUUACUCAUCAAACAAAACAUGUGCAUCGAAAAGUAAGUUCAUCAUUUACUUCUUCUUCUUCUACCUUUUUUUUUUUAAAUUCAUUUCCUCAUCAUUCUUUUUUUUUUUGUAGAGAGAAACAACUACGAGAGUAGAACUUAACUCGAUUGAAGAGGAAGAGACUUUUGAAGCUGAGACUGAGGAAGAAUCAUGUGACUUUGAACGUAGUGAUGAAUUUGAUGAUGAAUCAAUUGAUGUUGAUAAAGCUGAAGUUGAGGGUGAGCCAACCCCUUUUGAUGAUUUCAUUGAUUUGGAUGUUUUAUUUCCAAUUCAUGUUCAGAGCUCUACCAUGAACCAGGUAUAAACAUAUUACUAUGUUACUCCGAUUGAUGUUGUUCCAUUCUUUUUUUUUUUUAAAUUAAGAUUGUUCUUACUCCACAGGCUAUUCGAGAUGAGGUUGUUCCUGACACUGAGAUUAUUCCUACUGUUGAAGUUGUUCCUGAAGCUACUCUAAAUGUUGAGGUUAUUCAUGAUGUUGGAGUUGAUACUGACGAUGUUAGAGCUAUUCCAAUGACUCCUUAUGCUUCUUCCUCCCUAGUGCCAGAACACAGAGAUGCAAGUAGUACUUCUGGCAUUCAAGUAGCACAUACUGAACAAAGUGGUAAGAAAGUUGACUUCCAUGGUUUUCAAGUUUCAUUGGAGUAUGUGGCAUACUUAGAGCAUGUUUUCAAUAUAAAGGGAGAGUUUUGGAGUACCUCCUUUGUAAAGAACGUAGACGUCAUCUGCUUAAUGAUGGAAGUGUUGGGUAGAGCGUUAGCCAUUUCCCAUGCUCCACUAAUGAGUACUUCACCAGAGGAAUUGCAACGAUGUUACAAGAUUUCGAUGAUGCUUGUAACUUUGGAUUCAAGCUUGAGUGCCUUAGUGAUUGUAGAUCUAAAGCCAAGAUUUUUCUUAACAAGUCUUCCUUGGAGAAUGAGUUAGAAGACAUUGCAGCGAAGAUAGCUUUACUGAAAAAAUGUGAAGCUGAAGUACAAGAACAAUUAAAUGUAUUUGCCAAUAAUAACUCUUCUCUAUGGAGUAUGUAAUUGACUAGUCUUUUGCUUUUCCUUUACUCUUUUUGAAAGCUCAUUUGAGCUAGUACUUCGCUAUUGAUAUAUCAUAUUUCUUUUUCUUUUGCAAUAAUAAUAAUGUUAUACGCUUGUUGCAUAUGUGUUCACAUUUAAUAUUAUUGUAUGUGGCCAAAAAGGAACUCUCAACUUUACAUCAAGGAGAUUAACUCUAACCUGAUAUGAAGGAGAUUAAUUCAACCCUUAAAAUAAGUAAGCGUAAUAGCUACAGUCAAUUUGUGAGUAAUAAGCUAGGGCCAAGAAAUGAGCGAUAAAGCUUACGGCCAAUAGCAUAACAUCAUUACAACCAAAUUAUGAGCGAUAAAGCUAGCAGUUGGAAUGUGAAUAAUAAAUUGUGGUCAAAGAAUAAACGAUAAAACUUGUGACCAAAAGAAGAAUAUCAUUGCAGCCAAAAUAUGAGCGGUAAAGUUUGCGACUGAAGUAAGAAUGAUGAACUAUGGUCAAAGAAUAAGCGAUAAAGCUUGCGACCAAUAGUAUAACAUAAUUACAGCCUAAAUAUAAGCGAUAAAGCUAGCGGCUGAAUAUGAAUUUUUUUUUAAUGUCAAAUUGCAAUUCAUAAAGCGAUGAAGAGUUAAAGUCAUAGAAAUAACAUACAUGAGUAGGAAGCGAGUUGUUCUGGACCGUGUUGUUUUCAAUCAACAACUCUUCUGCUUGCAUUUUCUUAUGGAAUAUUCUUUUUUGAAAAAGAUCUCUUCUUUCUCUACCUCUUCCUUAAAUUGCAUUCACUGUUGGAGUAUUCUUUCUAUCGAAGCGAGUAACUCCUUUUUGUUUGAGAACCGUAUUAUUGGUUCUUUGUGCCAUUUCCACCAAGGUAGCAAAAGUUGGAAGAGGUAAAUUCUGCUAGUGUAGCUUACACUUGUAAAACAUUUUUUUUGAAUGCAAACUGUCACAAACUCCUUCUCAUCAUAAGACUCUUAUAUAUCUAACUCCCUUUCUCUAAAGUGUAAGAUGUAUUCCAUGAGGUCUUCUAUGGACUUUUGAUAUUCUGUUCCCAAAUCAAGGAGAUUAACCUUCUCUUGAGUAGAGAAGAAAAACUCCUCCCUGAACAUCCACAUCAAUUGUAGUUUUUCCAUUUCCUUCAUUCCCCUUAGUGUUUGUAACUAGAGGAAUGACUUCGUCAGGUGCACUCUCAUUAAAGUGUACAGAUUGAGCUUGAAAAAAGGUGGAAGUGAAGGAUGCAAGUUGAGAUAUGGUCUCCAACAUCCGCCUAUUGUUGUCUUCUAACAUUUGCAUUCUCUCUUAAGAAGCCUCAAUCAUUUUCAUCAGCUUUUGGAUGUAGGUGGGAAUAGAUGCAUUUUGGUUACUAAAGGAACUGUCUAUUUCUUCUAAUAAUGCAAAGUUUUUCUAGUAAGCUUUUACUUAAUGCAAUCACUCUUCCCCAGUGGAGUCGCCAAAAUGUAAAGGGGGUUCUUGUGAUAGGGAAAGGAAGCGUUACAAACAAGUAAAAGGAUGUGCUAGAAGCAGCAAAGAGGAAGAUUAAAGCAGUUCCUAAAGUACUAAGUGCUGUGGCAGGUGAAAGACAAUCAGAAGAGACUUAAAGAGACUUAGAGAGUACAAGAUAAUUAAAGAGAGAAGCUCUCAAGUUGAGAAUGUGUUAGCUUGGAGAGGGAGAGAAGAGUCCUUCCAAAUGAAUUGUGAGGCUCUAUAUAUAAUGCUAAAAGUGGUGGUUACAUAAGAAUAGGCUUUAAUGCGCCUAAUGAAUGACAUUGUUAUGAAGAAUAUUAAUGUAAGUAACCAUUACUGUAAUUGGAUGUAGUAAGACUUGUUCUCAAGUAAAGGUAAUAGAAAAGAGGUGUAAAAGAAUAAGUACAAGAGAAGAAGCUGUACAAGAUAGGUACAAGAGAAAAAAGUGCAUGUGAAUAAGUAUACGAGAACAAGGUAAGAAGGUGAAACACUUGUACUUCAGGAAAGAAAUAAGAGGAAGACCUCGUAACUACCUCCAUAUCUGAGCCACCAAGCCAAACUCCUCUGGAACAUCCCAAGAUGAAAGUAACCUAUGAACCCUGCCACUUAUUCCGAGUUGCUUUCACUAUCAUACAAGUGAAGUGGUUAUUCUAUUCAAAGUAAUUUUCUACUUGCAUUAAUUAUUCCAUAUGGAGUAGUGUUCUAUUUAUUCUAGUUAUUAUGCGUUAAGCAGCACUUCACUUGUUUUGCGUGAAGUAGCGCUUCACUUGUUCUACUUAUUCUGCGUGAAGUAGCAUUUCACUUGUUUUACUUAUUCUGCGUGAAGUAACACUUCACUUGUUCUGAUUGUUCUCUGUACAACAUUAUAUUGUAACGUAAUUCUUUAGAGUAACAAUAUUAACCGAAAUCAAGUAUCUACAAUGAUAUAUGGAGAGGCCAUGGAAGCAAGAAAGGCAGUGGCAGCGUUGAACGGGUCAUGGCUUCUAGAUCAACAUAGGGGUGAAUUUAGCAAAAUAUGGACAAACAGAAGAAAACCAGAGCAAAACAACAAGCAAGUGGUGGGAAUAUGGUGAGAAAGAACGUGGAACAAACAAAAAGAAACAUAUGCGCAGGAGUUAAUUAUUACAAUCUUUAAUUACGUGUUGUAACUUGCUUUGUCACAUCGUUCAAAAGUAUAUUAUAAAAAACAACUUAGUAAAAAGAAAAAACAUAUAAAAAAAGUAAAGAAGGGAGAGGGUACUUUAUGACAUCCUUAAGCAUUGCAGCUAGGAGCUUGUGCAAUUGUGUUGCUUGAGUCAUGGAGAUCAAACAGAAUGGAAAUUUAAUGAGUUUUUAUAGAAAGUUAAUAGAACUUGAUUAUGUGCUGUGCAGAUGUAAUUUAUUGACAAUUGAGAAAGUGUAAAUUAUAUAUUAAAAGUAUACAUCAAAUGCUAUAAGCUAUAAAAGAAUGAGGGUUAAUUAGUUUUUUACUUUUUAAUCACAAAUUUUAUUAGAAUCUCACGUAAUAUUAGUUUGUUCUAUUCAUCAAUUGAAGGUAUAUGUUAUGGCUGUCAUUUUAAAGUUUUAAGUGCUGCAUAAAAAAUUAUUGACUAGUUAUUAAGGGGAAGCAAGAAAUCAAAAGAGCAUUUGAAUAUUUAACAAUAAUAAGUCUAUGCAUCGAGAUCAAAGAUUAGGGUUGAAAUUCUUUUUUCUAAUUAAAAAAAUAAGCUAGAAACAAAAGGUAGAAAGAACAAAUUUACCAUUAAUGGAACCCGGUGACAAGGUCAGUUAAAAAGAUAUCUGGUGACUUUCCACUUAUGCUUGAUAUUUUGAUCAGUAACAAUGAAAACAUUCUUUUUAAAAAGUUAGCUUGUUACAUUGGCUAUUGAAGAAGCACUUUAGAUAUUCUGUUUCUGCAUUUUAAUUAUCUCUUCCACUAACCGUUCUUGUAUUUAAUAAGCAUUGGUGGUGAAGGUCUCCAAAAUCUCUAAUCCAGCUUGGUAACUCUCUAAUACCAUCGAGCAGACCCGGAAUGGACGAAACGGUAGGAACUCAACUUUGGUACUCUUAGUUGUUCUCGGUGUAUCUUUACUCGACUAUGUCUAAUUCUGAUCUUAUAUGGUAAUUAUUAAAACUUUCAAAAGACCGAUACGACUGACUGAAGUAAUCAGACAGAAGUGGCCCACGGCUUUGGAUACAUUCGGAAGAGUCCAAAUACACUGCCCAUUUUCUUGUCAUUUUGUGGGGUCACAUCCUCCCAACUUCUACAGGUUUGCCACGCAGUAGUGAUUAUGACACAACAUUAACAAAGGGAAAUUGAACACUUUGGGGCAAUUCUCAUACACACAAACCUUGUUCAAUUGCAAGAACCUAGAAGCCCAUAGCAAUUUUAUGUAUUCCAUGGAAAAAAAAACUCCAAUUUCACAAUGUUCUUUCCAUCGUUAUCUCACCUUUAUGGCCUGGUCCUAAAUCCCAAGCAUAGCCUUCCUUUAAAAAGCCAUGGAUGGGUGUUUUAAAUUCAAAUAUUGCAAACGCUGCUCCCAUGGUCACAGUAGAAAACAAGCCCAGAUGGAUAUUUGUGUUUAAUUUGGAAGAAAAGUGAAAGGUUCCAACGACGGAAUGUGAAGGUUUAAUGAAAUAUUUGAUUUUGUUGUUCAAAUUAUGUAGGAUCAAAGAUAAAAAGUGUAGAUAGAGGAUGAUUUGUGCCAAAUUUUCUUCCCCAAUUCUAAUACAUAUUUUAGAAAUUUUCUGAUAAAAAGUUAAAUAAAUUGUUUUGGAGAAAAAUUUUAUAGUAAAUAAAGUGUCGAGAUAAAAUUCACAUUAAGAUCUCAUCCAUAAUUUUUUUAUUGAAAUCACCUGAUCUUAAUUUAUAAAUAACAAAUUAAAUACUUUUUCGAGUCGAGAAAAGCAAAUUUACUUAAAUUCAAGAAGAAAACUAAUUACAAUGCAAAGUUUUCUACUGGAAUGGCUGAUUGUACUAAUAGAACAACAAAAGCUACUUCUUCUAGAUAAGCAUGCAAAAGGCUUUGGGCCCUUCAUACAAAACAUAGGAAAAGCAUGCAACUAAUCACAAGGGAGUUUUUAGGCUAAAAAACUUUCCUAUCACUCUGGAAUCUAAAAUCUUUAAGGCUUCCUUAGAUUUGAUGCAGCUAGGUGCCUUGUAUUGGUUCAUAGAAGCUCCUUGUGACACAUAGUAAUCCAUUAGGGCAUCAAAAGUUCCUUGCUUUACCACCCUAAUCUCCAAAGGUGCAAUUGCAUUUUGCUGCCUAUAGAUUUUAUAUGUAUAAUUCAGUGAUUCUUCCAUUCUAGAGCAACAUUCUGCCAUCAUCUUUGGAUCAAGCUCUUUGUUAUCGUUAUCUUCCUUUACCUUAAGCUCCCAAAAUAAUACAUAGUGACCCGGAGUUGAAGACAUAUCACCGUAGCUAGUGUACGCUGUCAAGAUGAAGCCAAGCGGUUCAAGCAGAGUCUUUGCUUCUGUCACUGCCUUCAAUAAGUCUGCUUCACUUGUUUUAUCUGCAUCAACACUUAGAAUAACAUUUUCCCUCUCCACAAAACGGAAUUGAGGUGUAUUGUUGUGGAAACCAGUCACCAUAAGAAUAUCUCUAACUCUAUAUCGAUAUAAUCCUGGAAAAAACAAGGAAAAUCAAAUACAAGAUUAGAUCAUUUUAUGAAACUUUUAUGUAGCUAGGAAGUAUAUUGUAGAAUUAGUAGAUGGCCUUUGAUUAAAAGGAUAAUUGCCAUUUCUGUUUUGAUGCUACGUAGAAAAAAUUACUAGUGUAAAUGAUCAGGUAUGUAUGUGUAUGAUUUGAAUUUGAAGAGGGAAAUUUUACCUGUAAAAGUUGUCACAACUAGCUCAUAAAAUUGACCAAGCUUCACAUUUACAAGAUCUACGGGUUCAAUAUCUUCAUUGUUGCUGUUCAUUUCUAUGGAUUCCUGUUCAGACACACCAUUAAAUUGAACCUCUUGAGUCAUUGACACACGGUGUUUCUUCACCGGAAGGAAUUCAAAGUAAGCCAUAUUGGGGAGGAUGGUAUAAGAGACAUCAGCAGGCUUGUCUAGAGGUUCUAAAUUGAUCCCACAAAUGGCUUCAGAACAACCAUAAAAACUUGACACUAAAGGGAGCCCUCCACUGUAGAAAUCGAGUGCUGUAGUAUAUUGUCUCAUAACGCCUGUAGUAACGGCACCGAUAUACUUUGCUUUAGGCCAAAGCUUUCUGAUUAUUCCUUCCCAUGAUCUACAACCACAUAUGUUUUCUAUUGAAUCAGCCAACUCUGGAUCAGGCUUCAUGAUCAAUGACAGUGCAUUUUUGCAUCCCGAGUCAGUGAUCCGAUCGCUUAAGUAACCUGUUUUUAUGUUUGAGCAUAGCUCCUUCCAGUGAUCUUCUAUAAAGUUGAUAGCUCUUAGCAAUGUAGAUGCAAAGAUUGAGCCAAUCCUUACAACCUCGUCUCGCUGUAUUAAACCGACAAGCAGUUGGCAGUACAUGCUCUGGUUGAUGUCUAAGCAAAGGAUUGUCUCAAUUGGGCUUGUGUAAAGCAUGGGCAGGAUGUUUCUAAAGCCAUUGUCCUUGAAUAAGCUUGUUGUGACAGAUCUAGCCUUGAGGCCCGAAGGGGUUUCAAUCUCUGGUUUGACAAACAUAAGUUCCAUACUUUUUCCAGCUCGGUUCAAGUCACCAAAGUGCCUGUGAAUGGAUAAACUCAACUGGUAUUGUUAGUUUUUGGAAUGUAUACUCGUGUAUAACUCUUGAAAGCUGAUCUGAAGCCAACACUUAUAACAAUAUUAAAAUAUAAUAAUUCAAGAAUACUUGAAUUUCUAACAAUUAAAUGUUUGUGAAGGCAAUCUUGCAAUAUUAAAUUAACUUACUAACACUUCUACUCGUUUUCCAUUAAGGUGCUGAUAUUAAGUUAAUGAGGCACUGGCAUGAAAGGGAAACCUGCCAAAAUCAUGCUAACUAUUUCUUUUUAAACCUCCUAAAACAGCCCGCUAGCACCUCACCCAUUACUUGAAUUCCAACUUACAAAUAAUAUAACCGUUCACAUCUAUUGGCACUAAAAAUAUCUAAAGACAUAAUACUUGAAAAAAAUUUUAAAUUAUUCAAAAUAAUUUAAAUAGGUUUUUAUUAUUUCAUUACUAGUUUGUGUGUUCUUUUUUUGAGUCAAAAAAACUGUUAUGAUUAAUGGUUGAUUUAAAUUAAAAUAAUAUUAAUCAUAUUAUACUCAUGUGAUAAAGUGACACAUUUCAUAAUGAAUAAUAAAGUGAUAUUGAUGUCACAUGAUGAUAUUUUUUAUUUUUCACAUUAAUACUACGUGAGUAUAAAAUUAUAAAUAAUAUUUUAAUUACUGAUAAUUAGUAAACUAUUAGUCAUAAAAAUUUAUUUAAUUAAAAAAUAAAAAUACAUGAAUUUAAUUUAACGUGAUAAAAAAAUAAAAACUUAAUUAAUUUUUUUUGAGUAUUAUGGCAAAUCUUUACUUUCUUUUUUCUUUUUUUCAACAUGAGAGAAAGUCAAGUCACCAACACUCAGUCCCUAAAAUAUAUUGGAUACUCUGAUAUGAAGUGUUUCUUUGUUUUCUUUUCAGGCAGUCUCAAGGUUUGGAUGCUUCUUUGAAAGAGCUUAAACAGAGCAUAAGAGACGUAGACACUAAUCAAUCACACUCGACUAAAAACAUGAAGUGAGUUUUAAAGUAUUUACAAGAUAAUGAUUAUUUUAUUAGAAUUUGAAUUAAACUAAUCCUAGGAUAUAUAUAUAUAUAUAUAUAUAUAUAAUAUAUAUUUUAAACUGUAACAAAAUUGGGCUCAGAUUUUUACUUGUUCAGCACAGACGCUGACAGGGUAUGAAAUACUGCCAUUUUCUUUGAAAGUUCAACCGUGGCAGGUAUUAACUUUGGCUGCCCGCCGCUAGUGCCAGAGCUGCAGGUCAAACAGGAUUGACUAAGGGGGGAAGCAGGGCGAAAAAUAAAACCAAAAAAAGAAAAAGAAAACAGAGGCGAUAAAUUUACACCUUCGGUGGAACUCAAUCACAGGUUCAGCUAAAAGGAUGUCUGAUGGCUCACCGUUAGCAAUCCUAUCAACGUAAGGCUUGAUAUCUUCGUAAGUAACAACGGGAACAUUGUUUUUGAAGAGUUGCUUGCCACUUUGGCCAUUAAGGAAUCCCUUCAGAUAUUCUGUUUCUGCAUUUCGCUUAAGUAUCUCUCCCAAUACCUGUUCUUGUACUUGAUGAGCAUUGAUGGUCAGUUCCUCCAUCAUCUUCAGUCCAUCAACUUCAUACUCAUUUGUUGCCAUCAGAUAACAAUAAUUUUUUUCCGAAGAUAAUUAACUCAGACUGCUGCUUUAGAAAGGUCUAGCUCUUUUGGGGUG